AUGCACGUGGAGCGUAGAGGGGAGCUUGCACCUGAAUCCUAGCGGCGGACGGGUGAGUAAUGCUUAGGAAUCGGCCUAUUAGGGGGGGACAACGUUCCGAAAGGGACGCUAAUACCGCAUACGUCCUACGGGAGAAAGCGGGGGAUCUUCGGACCUUGCGCUAAUAAAUGAGCCUAAGUCGGAUUAGCUAGUUGGUGGGGUAAAGGCCUACCAAGGCGACAAUCUGUAGCGGGUCUGAGAGGAUGAUCCGCCACACUGGGACUGAGACACGGCCCAAACUCCUACGGGAGGCAGCAGUGGGGAAUAUUGGACAAUGGGGGCAACCCUGAUCCAGCCAUGCCGCGUGUGUGAAGAAGGCCUUUUGGUUGUAAAGCACUUUAAGCGAGGAGGAGGCUUACCUGGUUAAUACCCGGGAUAAGUGGACGUUACUCGCAGAAUAAGCACCGGCUAACUCUGUGCCAGCACCCGCGGUAAUACAGAGGGUGCAAGCGUUAAUCGAAUUUACUGGGCGUAAAGCGCGCGUAGGUGGCUAAUUAAGUCAAAUGUGAAAUCCCCGAGCUUAACUUGGGAAUUGCAUUCAAUACUGGUUAGCUAGAGUAUGGGAGAGGAUGGUAGAAUUCCAGGUGUAGCGGUGAAAUGCGUAGAGAUCUGGAGGAAUACCGAUGGCGAAGGCAGCCAUCUGGCCUAAUACUGACACUGAGGUGCAAAAGCAUGGGGAGCAAACAGGAUUAGAUACCCUGGUAGUCCAUGCCAUAAACGAUGUCUACUAGCCGUUGGGGGCCCUUGAGGUUUUAGUGGCGCAUCUAACGUGAUAAGUAAACCGCCUGGGGAGUACGGUCGCGAGACUAAAUCUCAAAUUAAUUGACGGGGGCCCCGCACAAGCGGUAGCAGCAUGUUGUUUUAUUUCGAUGCAACGCGAACAAUCUUACCUGGUCUUGACAUACAGAGACUUUCCAGAGAUGGGAGUGGUGGUCUUGCGGGAACUCCUGAAUAAAGGUGCUGCAAUGGCUGUCGUCA
rnacentral:rRNA from 1 species